AUGUUCUGUUCUUCCCCAGAGUGUAAAGGAGACUCAGUGACGCAGACAGAAAGAGAAGUUGUUGCUGCUGCAGGAGAAACUCGGACUCUGGGAUGUACCUUUGAAACCAGUGUUGGAGGUUAUACUGUGUUCUGGUAUAAACAAGAAGAAAACAGUUUCCCUAAGUUCAUGCUGAAGCAGCUGUCAUCAACAAAAGUUAAAGCUCCAGAGUUCGACAGCAACAGAUUCAAUGCAGAGAUCAACGACAAAUCCUUCAACCUGAAGAUCCAGGAUCUCAGUCUGUCAGACUCUGCUGUGUACUACUGCGCUUUGAGGCCCACAGUGACAGGAAACACCAGAACCCUGUGCAAAAACCUGCAGUACUCCACAGCGGCCACUAGAGGGCCUCACUCCUUGUUAAUCCACUAAAACCUGCAGUACUCCACAGCGGCCACUAGAGGGCCUCACUCCCUGUUAAUCACUGGUUGAGUAUUUGAACUGAAAACAAAGAGAUGAGACAUUGUGACUGAGUUUCGUCUCAACCAUCACCAUUAUCUGCUUUAGAUCAUGGAAACAGGACAGGAUGAAAACAAAAACAA